AGCAAAGGUAGCAGCGCUGGCCACAACACCCCACAACCCAGACGAAGAACUGAAAAUAGGUUGGAAGUCUCCUUUGCGCAAAAACUAGAGGACACAAUUAUUAGGGGUAAGGAAUUAGGGUGAAAGUCUUUCUUCGAGUCACUCUACUGAUGCUGGGCCUAAUAUUUCUCCUCUUCACUUUGGAGCCUACCUGUGUGCUUGCGGUAAAAGUUCCACCAGUACUUCAUCACCUGACUAGAAACCUACGAGACGCAUUUCCCCGUCCAAAUCGUGGAUAAACGUGCUGGCCCUUGCGGUUCACUACUACACCAAGGAACUGACUAUGAUCAUCAAUUUGCUAAGCGCAAGGACCAGAGGGCACAGCAAUUAAGAAGACACCCAACGUCUAUUUGUAUCACCUGCAGUUUAUUUUCAAAAAGUGCCACGCAAGUGAAAUGCAUAAAAACUGCAGCCAUGAGCGCCACGUUUGGGUUCAUUAGGGGUCCUCGUUCUGAGACAUUAUCGGCUGGGGCACCUGCUUGAAUCAGACAAGCAUAUAACCAUGCUUCAGAAAGAUGAUGACUGAAAAAUGAACAGGAUAUUCUCACAAAACGAGUAAAUGACUCCAUCAAACAUGGCUCCACAGUAUUGCCCUCGAAAUCUAGCUACAUUCACUAACGAUUGAGUUAGCGCCUAUGUAUGCAGACUGCGCGACCUUGUUGCUUCCGCACACUGAAAACUGCUCGUUGGUUCCUUGUUUUGCUUGCCUUAAUAAAAUGUA
rnacentral:lncRNA from 1 species